rnacentral:rRNA from 1 species
CGGAGGGGGCUAGCGUUGUUCGGAAUUACUGGGCGUAAAGCGUACGUAGGCGGCUUUGUAAGUUAGAGGUGAAAGCCCGGGGCUCAACCCCGGAAUUGCCUUUAAGACUGCAUCGCUUGAACGUCGGAGAGGUGAGUGGAAUUCCGAGUGUAGAGGUGAAAUUCGUAGAUAUUCGGAAGAACACCAGUGGCGAAGGCGGCUCACUGGACGACUGUUGACGCUGAGGUACGAAAGCGUGGGGAGCAAACAGGAUUAGAUACCCUGGUAGUCCACGCCGUAAACGAUGAUAACUAGCUGUCCGGGCACUUGGUGCUUGGGUGGCGCAGCUAACGCAUUAAGUUAUCCGCCUGGGGAGUACGGCCGCAAGGUUA